GCGCUCACUUGGGCAGCACAUACACUAACACUAGUAUGACACAGAGAUGAUUAGCAUGGUCCCUGUUCCAGGAUGACACACACAUUCAUGAACCAUUCCAUGUUGUC